ACCAGCUGGUGGGGGGAGAGGAGGCUGUGACGCAGGCGCGCACGCUCAGGGGGCGGAGCCGCGCCGGGCCGAGAGGCUGCGGGCGCCCGGGAGGACCAUGGCGGACCCACAGCCUGUGGGGCCCACAGGACAUACAUCUGCUGCCCCAGACACUGCUGGAGCCCCACCGCCAGGACCCAGCCCCACUGUGCCCCCCGCGGGACCCAGCACCCACCCCACCACCGGGCCCAGUGCCCACCCCACCACUGGGCCUGGCACCCGCCUCGCCACAGGGCCCAGCACACAGCCCACUGUGGAGUCCAGCACACACCCCACCACAGAACCUGGCACCCAUCCCGCCCCUGGCCCAGGCACAGUGAGUGCUCCACUGGAUGACGUGCGCUUCAUGAUCGCCAGCACCAACUGGUACUAGUGGUGCUGCACAGCCCCAUGCCAUAGCCCCUUCCCCACAGGGGAAGCAGGUGGAGCUGGGAGCUCUGGGCAUGCAGACGCUGUGGAGAGCUCCUUUGGAGAGACCUUGCUUGAGUGCCAGUGCCGUGCAUCCCAGGGGAAACAAAGUGAUGUGUGAUCCCGGGGAGCUUCUGCUUCUGAUUGCCCAUGGAGGUAGAUUCUCCUUUGCAAGACAGCCCCAUAAUGGAGCUGUUUUGUUUCAAUAAAAGCAUGCUUUCCUGGGA